CAAGAAGUUACAAAUGAAAAGAAUUCUAGUAUGUUGUCUAGAGAUUGUUCUUACGAUAUUUUGGUGAAGAAAUUGGCUUCUUUUUCCCUUGCCAAAAAGCCUGCCUGAGGCUAAAGUGAAGAAUUUUAGAUUAAUUACCUUGGCAGAGGAAAUCUCAAAAUAGCCUAGUAUGGCCUCUGUUGUGUGCAUUUUGGUGGUAACUCUAAUGAAGAUUUAUAAUGAAUAGGAGCAAGUUGAACAGGGUAAAUUACAAAAUGAAAAAUUUAAGGAGGAAAGGAAUACCAAAAAGUGGAAUGGAACUAAAUCCUCUGUUCAAGGAGAUUAAGAAAUGGAAUAAUAAAGGGAGUGAUGACAUCAGGUCAAGAUCCCAUCCAGCUAAAUUUCCAGCUUGUGAAAAGAAACUAAAGAAAAGUUUAGAGCUGGGUGCAAUGGUGUACACCUUUAAUCCCAGCACUGGGAAGGGUGGGUAUCAUGAGUUUGAGGCUAGCCUGGUCUAUAGAGCAAGUUGAAAGGCAAAUUUACACAGUGAAGGUAAACAAAAAACAAAGCGGUACUUGGGAGACAGAGGCAGGUGGAUCUCUGUGAGCUCAAGGCCAGUCUGGUCUACAGAGUUGAGUUCCAGGACAGCCAAGGCUACACAGAGAAAAUCUGUCUCAAAAAGCUAAAAAACAAAAAAAGCAGAAAGCAGAUGGAGAUGUAAUUGAAUGAGUGGAUCAUGUUCUAGCCCCAGCAAGCAGCAGAACUUGGCAGCUUUGAUACAUGGUCCUGGCUUUAGAAUUAACAAUAGAAGAAACAGGUUAUGGAAUUUACCUCCUCACCUAAAAAUAAAAGCCUCAGAGGCAAAGUAUGUGUCAGGGGUGUCCCAGGAUGGAGGCUUAUGAGGCCAUAUUGUGAAGCUGUGAAGUUGAAGCCUGAAUUGCCUUGGAGACCCCAAGAUGUUAGAGAUGCCAGAAUCAUGGGAUACCUACCGAGGAGAGCUGCUAUCAAGGAGUGGAACCAGCCCAAGAAAAAGAAGUGUGUUGCAGUCAACAAGGAUGAAUGGAUUUGGAGAUCUGAGAAGUGUUUUUAUAUCAGACCUGGAGCAAAGAGUUUGAUAUUUGCCCAGCUUGUUUUUGCUCAUGCUUUGGUCCAGUAUUUCUUCAUUAUGCUCCCUUCUCUACAUUUUGGAAGGGUGAUGUAUAUCUUGUGCCAUUGUAUGUUGGAAGUAUAUGGUUUUUUUUAAUUAUUUUGAUUUUAUAAGGGAUUACAGUUAAGAGAUACAAAUCUCGGAAGAGAUUUUGAACUUUGGACUUUUAAACAUUGUUGAGACUGUUACAGACUAUGGGGACUUUUGAAGUUGGACUCAAUGCAUUUUGCAUUAUGAGAUUAUUAAGUGCUUGUGAGGGCCUGGGAGUGGAAUGUGGUAAUUUGAAUGUAAUUGGUCCCCAUAAGCUCAUAGAGAAUGGCACUAUUAGGUGGUAUGGCCUUGUUGAAGUAGGUAUAGCCUUGCUGAUGGAAGUGUGUCACUGUGUGGGGGGUGGGCUUUGAAGUUUCUUUUGCUCAAGUUUCACUUGGUGUGACUUCCAGACCAUUUCCUGCUGCCUACAAGAUGUAGGACUCUCAGCUCCUUCACCAACACCACAUCUGCCUUCAUGCAGCCAUCCUCCAUAAUACUGAACUGAACCUCUGAACUGUAAGUGAGCUACCUCAAUUACAUGUUUUCCUUUAUAAAAGUUGCCAUGGUCAUAGUGUCUCUUCACAGCAAUAGAAAACCUAAGAAAGACAUAGUCCGUGUUGACCGGUGGCUGUCCUUUACUCUUUUGUGAUUACAAGUUGCAGUGAGCCGUGAAGUGCCUGUGUGUGGAGCAGACGUGGGGUGGGACACAUGGCUAACUUCUCUCAUAGUAGCACUGGCCUUGAAAGAGGAGACGGUAAGUGUGGAGGUACUCAGGUUGACCUUGAAAGCCAGUGGACAACAUCUUCUCUUUAGUGCACAUUUGCAAGUGCACAGCUAGAGGCCACAUGAGUCUCAGCUACUGUAGCUACUGCAGUUUGGUCUUCUGUCUUUGUAUGUGUGUGCUUGAUUGUCUUUUGCAGUGCUCGGGAUUGAAAUGAGGGCCUGUGAAUGCUAAGCACCUGCUCUCCCACUGAGCUACAUCCCAGCCCUGCACUGUUGUCCUAAUGGCACAUGCCCUCUACUACUUGGGAUAUGAAGUGUGCACUAUGACAGAAACAUAGAAGUUAGUAUUCACCAUCUUUAAAAAGGUACACACUUGGCUCUGGUCUGGCAUGAGAAACCAUGAUUUGCAACACGUGAUAUAAGGAAGAUGAUGCUGAGAUUUGUAUGAAGCAGAGAACUCUAAACCCCACAGUUUCCUGGAGAAAGCAACACCUGGAAGACCGAAGGAAACCAAGCAAGAUUUCAAUUUUCCACUGUAAGUGUGCUUAGGAAGGACCCCAGACUUGAUGGACAAGACAGAAAGCCCAUAGCCAACGAGCCGAAGGAUCCCCCACUUUGUACCCACCUGAAGGAUCACCCCCUGCCUGCCUGUGAGCUAAGAACCAAAUUGAAAAAGACUUAGAAUCAUAGAAUUCAAUGUUGAGCCACCACAGGGGACCAACAUGACCUGCUAGGGUAUAAUAGCUGACGAGAACAGCACUCCUCAGAGGAAGGUAACAGAAUCCAGAGUCUCUGAAAUAAGUCCUCCAUAAUGUCCAAUCUAAAACCACCAGCAAUUCAAAGAAACAGGAAAACGGGACUAGGGAAAGUCUUCAAAAUAGCAGAAUUAGCAGACAAGAACAUUAAGACAAUUUUGAUCACUUGUUUGUUUAUUUUGUUUUGUUUUUUUAAACAGAGCCUCUCUACAUUGCCCUAGCUGUCCUGGAACUCACUGUGUAGACUAGACUAGCUUAAGACUCAUAGAGAUCUGCCUGCUUUUGUCUCCAUAGUUCUGGGCUUGACUGAUGUUUUGAGGAGCCAACAGGAAUAGCUGGUUAAUGAAGAUACAUGGAGAUUAUCUUUACCCCAGUCAAACCUUUAGAAUUGGAAGAUGUAAUGAAUCCAGUAAAGUGUCCACAGAUAAAUACUGGUUAAUUUUAUGCUAACUUGACACAAGCUAGAGUCAUCAGAGAGGAGGGAGCUUCAAUUGAGAAAAUGUCUGCAUACAAUGGGGCUAUGGGCAGGACAGUAAGGCAUUUUCUUAAUUAGUGAUUCAUGUGGGAGGGCCCAGCUCAUUGUGGGUGGGGACAUCCCUGGGCUGGUAGUCCGGGGUUCUAUUAAAAAAAAGCAGGGAGAACAAGCCAGUAUGCAGCACCUCUCCAUGGCCUUUGCAUCAGCUUCUG
ensembl:lncRNA